AGUGAUGUAUGAGUUAGUGGCGGACGGGUGAGUAACGCGUGGAGAACCUGCCGUAUACUGGGGGAUAACACUUAGAAAUAGGUGCUAAUACCGCAUAAGCGCACAGCUUCGCAUGAAGCAGUGUGAAAAACUCCGGUGGUAUACGAUGGAUCCGCGUCUGAUUAGCUGGUUGGCGGGGUAACAGCCCACCAAGGCGACGAUCAGUAGCCGGCCUGAGAGGGUGAACGGCCACAUUGGGACUGAGACACGGCCCAAACUCCUACGGGAGGCAGCAGUGGGGAAUAUUGCACAAUGGGGGAAACCCUGAUGCAGCGACGCCGCGUGAGUGAAGAAGUAUUUCGGUAUGUAAAGCUCUAUCAGCAGGGAAGAAAUACUGACCUUACGGUCAGCAGACGGUACCUGACUAAGAAGCCCCGGCUAACUACGUGCCAGCAGCCGCGGUAAUACGUAGGGGGCAAGCGUUAUCCGGAUUUACUGGGUGUAAAGGGAGCGUAGACGGCAGCGCAAGUCUGAAGUGAAAUCCCAUGGCUUAACCAUGGAACUGCUUUGGAAACUGUGCAGCUGGAGUGCAGGAGAGGUAAGCGGAAUUCCUAGUGUAGCGGUGAAAUGCGUAGAUAUUAGGAGGAACACCAGUGGCGAAGGCGGCUUACUGGACUGUAACUGACGUUGAGGCUCGAAAGCGUGGGGAGCAAACAG
rnacentral:rRNA from 1 species